UAGUGGCGAACGGGUGAGUAACACGUGAGUAACCUGCCCUUGACUCUGGGAUAAGCCUGGGAAACUGGGUCUAAUACCGGAUAUGACUGACCGUCGCAUGGUGGUUGGUGGAAAGCUUUUGUGGUUUUGGAUGGACUCGCGGCCUAUCAGCUUGUUGGUGGGGUAAUGGCCUACCAAGGCGACGACGGGUAGCCGGCCUGAGAGGGUGACCGGCCACACUGGGACUGAGACACGGCCCAGACUCCUACGGGAGGCAGCAGUGGGGAAUAUUGCACAAUGGGCGCAAGCCUGAUGCAGCGACGCCGCGUGAGGGAUGACGGCCUUCGGGUUGUAAACCUCUUUCAGUAGGGAAGAAGCACGGUACCUGCAGAAGAAGCGCCGGCUAACUACGUGCCAGCAGCCGCGGUAAUACGUAGGGCGCAAGCGUUAUCCGGAAUUAUUGGGCGUAAAGAGCUCGUAGGCGGUUUGUCGCGUCUGCCGUGAAAGUCCGGGGCUCAACUCCGGAUCUGCGGUGGGUACGGGCAGACUAGAGUGAUGUAGGGGAGACUGGAAUUCCUGGUGUAGCGGUGAAAUGCGCAGAUAUCAGGAGGAACACCGAUGGCGAAGGCAGGUCUCUGGGCAUUAACUGACGCUGAGGAGCGAAAGCAUGGGGAGCGAACAGGAUUAGAUACCCUGGUAGUCCAUGCCGUAAACGUUGGGCACUAGGUGUGGGGGACAUUCCACGUUUUCCGCGCCGUAGCUAACGCAUUAAGUGCCCCGCCUGGGGAGUACGGCCGCAAGGCUAAAACUCAAAGGAAUUGACGGGGGCCCGCACAAGCGGCGGAGCAUGCGGAUUAAUUCGAUGCAACGCGAAGAACCUUACCAAGGCUUGACAUGAACCAGACCGGACUGGAAACAGUUCUUCCACUUGUGGCUGGUUUACAGGUGGUGCAUGGUUGUCGUCAGCUCGUGUCGUGAGAUGUUGGGUUAAGUCCCGCAACGAGCGCAACCCUCGUUCUAUGUUGCCAGCGGUUCGGCCGGGGACUCAUAGGAGACUGCCGGGGUCAACUCGGAGGAAGGUGGGGACGACGUCAAAUCAUCAUGCCCCUUAUGUCUUGGGCUUCACGCAUGCUACAAUGGCCGGUACAAAGGGUUGCGAUACUGUGAGGUGGAGCUAAUCCCAAAAAGCCGGUCUCAGUUCGGAUUGGGGUCUGCAACUCGACCCCAUGAAGUCGGAGUCGCUAGUAAUCGCAGAUCAGCAACGCUGCGGUGAAUACGUUCCCGGGCCUUGUACACACCGCCCGUCAAGUCACGAAAGUUGGUAACACCCGAAGCCGGUGGCCUAACC
rnacentral:rRNA from 1 species